rnacentral:snRNA from 1 species
UGAUGUAAGAGCUGUGCAGUCUGCCACCACAUUGGUCAAACCCACGCUGGGGUUGGUCCAGCUGGGCUAGGUCGGUGUCCUCUUCCUCCUUUACUACCCCACAUGUGUUUCUCCAGAAGCUGUGUGUGAUGUGGAAGACGACCUUCCCUAAACAGAAGAGGACUGGUCCUCCAUCAAGGGUACAUGGGUAACUGUGCUCUGCUGCUAGAACUGUGAAAUAAGCUAUCAAAGGGCAAAGGUGCUGUGUGAAUUGCCCACGGAGUAGGCUCUAUGGCCAGCAGAUGACAAAGCUGGCUGCAGAGAUAG